GUACUUUUUUUUUUUUUUUUUUUUUUUUUUUUUUUUUUUUUUUUUUUUUUUUUCACCAAUGAGGGG
rnacentral:ribozyme from 1 species